AUUGAACGCUGGCGGCAUGCCUUACACAUGCAAGUCGAACGGUAACAGGUUAAGCUGACGAGUGGCGAACGGGUGAGUAAUGUAUCGGAACGUGCCCAGUCGUGGGGGAUAACUGCUCGAAAGAGCAGCUAAUACCGCAUACGACCUGAGGGUGAAAGCGGGGGAUCGCAAGACCUCGCGCGAUUGGAGCGGCCGAUAUCAGAUUAGGUAGUUGGUGAGGUAAAGGCUCACCAAGCCGACGAUCUGUAGCUGGUCUGAGAGGACGACCAGCCACACUGGGACUGAGACACGGCCCAGACUCCUACGGGAGGCAGCAGUGGGGAAUUUUGGACAAUGGGCGCAAGCCUGAUCCAGCCAUGCCGCGUGCGGGAAGAAGGCCUUCGGGUUGUAAACCGCUUUUGUCAGAGAAGAAAAGGUUCUGGCUAAUACCUGGGACUCAUGACGGUACCUGAAGAAUAAGCACCGGCUAACUACGUGCCAGCCGCCGCGGUAA
rnacentral:rRNA from 1 species